rnacentral:rRNA from 1 species
GACGAAGGGGGCUAGCGUUGUUCGGAAUUACUGGGCGUAAAGCGCGUGUAGGCGGUUGUUCAAGUCGGGUGUGAAAGCCUUGAGCUCAACUCAAGAGAUGCACUCGAUACUGGAUGACUUGAGGACCGGAGAGGAUAGUGGAAUUCCCAGUGUAGUGGUGAAAUACGUAGAGAUUGGGAAGAACACCAGUGGCGAAGGCGGCUAUCUGGACGGUUUCUGACGCUAAGACGCGAAAGCGUGGGGAGCAAACAGG